rnacentral:misc_RNA from 1 species
GUUUACAAUAUAAAGGAGGACCUAGUUUAUGGAAUGUAGUAGGCAAAUAAAACUACAUGCCUAAUCACCAUUUAAACAUGAUAACACAAUAACAUGUGAAUCCAUAAUAGAAACAUCUAAAGAACCGCAGAAAGCAGUAUACAGAUAUAUAUUUGUGUGUGUCCAUAAGAUGAAGAUGAAAGCCAAAGGGGAAAGGCAAAAAUGGGUAAGAGAAAAUAUGUGAUUAUGUAUUGCUGAGAAAUUCCUAAGGAAUAUUUUCCUAGGGCAGCAAUCGACCUCUGAGAAAACUCCAUGGUCCAGUUCCAGUCCCCAUCCUCCAUACACCAGCAAAGGUACGUAGCCCCAUAAAGAUGGUUAGAGCAACCCAUAUUCCAAUAAAACCACCAGUUUUAGAGAGAAUGAAAAUGGUUGCAAUGCUUGCUAUAGCUACCAGAACCAUAGAAUAUGCAGAAUAUGCAAAAUCAGAAGCUCCAAAGUUCACACCAUCAAAAACAAAGGCUAUUGAGUUGAUAGGUUGUGUAGCUGCAACAAACGGGAUGCCUAUGCUUAUAAUGUGAAGAACAUCUGGAUCUUUUGAAAAUAUUCCAUCACCAAAAUGCAGACCUAGUCCAACAACAACAGCUAGCCCCAGGCCAAGAACAAAACUCAUCUGUAGAACCCGGGUCCCGGCGGUUGUUGCCUUCUGGUAGUCCUUCUCAGCAAAUGCACAAGCAAUAAUUGCCUGUCCAGCAACAGCCAAGCCAUCAGCAAGAAGUGAUGAGGUCAACCAGACCUGUAAGCAGACCUGGAAUGCAGCCAUAGGUGUCGAACCGAGCCUUGCAGCCCUUGAUGCUGCCAAGGUCACGCAGAUUGUAGCAGCUAUGACUCUUGCUAACAAUAGGAAACCAUUUUUGAGAAACCGACCAAAUUGCAAAUCUUUUAGACUUGGUGGUAAGAGAUCAAUUUUUUUCAUUAACCUCCACAAGAGGAUCAGUGAAAUCAAGUACUGGGAAAGAACAUGUGCAAUGGCUGCACCACUGACCCCCAACCGGCAGACAAAGAUAAAAAUUGGAUCCAAAAUGAUAUUUGCUACAUCUCCAAUAACAGUUGCAUAUAAAGGAGUUUUUGUAUCUUUGAAUCCUCUGAAGACCCCUUGCAUGGCCAGAGACAGAAGAACUGCAGGAGAACCUAGUGAUCUUAAUGUCAAGUACUUCCUGGCAGGGGUUAGCAUGGGGGAACCAGAUUUCACACCCAUGAUACUGAGGAGAGGUUUUGCACAGAAUAUGAGGAAUAUAGCCUGCACAAGACCAAGAAUGCCUCCAACAAUGAGUGCCGUUGAGGCUGAAGGGAUGUGUCUCCUUCCCUUCUUUUUAUUAUUGGGCUUUUCCUUGACACUUUUGCCUUCAGCAAUAGUGGGAGACUUGCAUGUAACUGCGUUACAAUCAUCUUCUGGAAUUGAAUCUUUCUUUCCAGGGUCUUUUGCUGAUCCUUUCUCCAAGUUCUCAAGCAUGACAUCUUCUGGCACCAACUCUUUCAUUUCGCAGGUUUUAGCUGAAUCCUUUUUCUCCAAGUCCUCCCCUUUCUGGGGUUCAUUGCUUAUCUUCUGAACAGUAUCUUCCUCAGCAACAAAUGAAGUUGUGAUACUGACCAAUGGGAAUAUGGUAACCUUUGAUGCUUGAUUGAAGAUGGCAAUUGAAACUCCUACAGCAGCUAUUUCCACCGGUCCUAGAUGGCCAACGAAUGCAGUGUCAAUGAGUGACGCAAUAGGAUCAGCAGCUAAAGCCAUAGCAGCAGGUACUGCAAUCCUUAGUAUCUCAGAACCCAGUUCAUCCAUCUUGAAAAUAAGUCUUGCAUCUCUAAAGAAAAUCAGGAGUGGCAUCUUCCAUUUUCUCUCAGUUAGCUGCAAAGCACUAUCUUCAGCCAUGAUAUCAAACGAAGUUCUAACUCUUUCUAAUGCAAACAACUCAAUUUAGCUUUGUGGGGAUUCCCAAAAAAGUCGCAAUUAUCUCACAAGCUAAUCCCUGUAACCUUUUUUUUUCUGCAGUAUUAGUCUUCUAAUUUGCAGCAAAACUUCAAAGCUCCUUCUACCAACUUCGAUCCUUUCAAUUGCAAGGCCAAAUACUAGCCCAUCAGUUUCCUUUUAUGG